rnacentral:rRNA from 1 species
UACAGGGGGGGCAAGCGUUGUUCGGAAUUACUGGGCGUAAAGGGUCUGUAGGUGGCCAACUAAGUCGGACGUGAAAUCCCUCAGCUUAACUGGGGAACUGCGUCUGAUACUGGAUGGCUCGAGUGUGGGAGAGGAAUGCGGAAUUCCAGGUGUAGCGGUGGAAUGCGUAGAGAUCUGGAAGAACACCGGUGGCGAAGGCGGUGGUCUGGGCCGUGACUGACGCUGAGGAGCGAAAGCCAGGGGAGCAAACGGG